UACACGCUGUGACUAGCAUAUCAAUAAGCGGAGGAAAAGAAACUAACAAGGAUUCCCUCAGUAACGGCGAGUGAAGCGGGAAGAGCUCAAAUUUGAAAUCUUGAAAGGUCACCUUUCACGAAUUGUAGUUUAAAGAAGUGUUUUCUGUUACGAUCGUAAUAUAAGUUCUUUGGAAUAGGACAUCACAGAGGGUGAGAAUCCCGUCUAUGAUUGCGAUUUGUAGCUUUGUGAUACACUUUCAAAGAGUCGGGUUGUUUGGGAAUGCAGCCCAAAACGGGAGGUAGAUUUCUUCUAAGGCUAAAUAUUGGCGAGAGACCGAUAGCGAACAAGUACCGUGAGGGAAAGAUGAAAAGAACUUUGAAAAGAGAGUUAAAUAGUACGUGAAAUUGUCAAAAGGGAAGCGUUUAACACCAGUGUUGUUUUCUGAAAAUCAACCUCUGUUAGCUUUAUGCAUGUUUGUUUAGACCUAAUCAGCUAUCUUGCAUGUUCUAUUGUUUGCAGUGGUGCACUUUUCAGUUUACAGGUCAACAUCAGUUUUUUUCACCGUAAAAAAGUUAAAGAAAGGUAGCUCAUAGCUCCGGUCGUGAGUGCUAUAGUCUUUUUCCUAUGCGGUAGGAGAGACUGAGGUCUGCAGUGUAGGCUAUUUGGCUAGAUACUCAGGUGCUAUGUGAUACCAUUUCAUAAACAACUUGUUGAUUAUGUUUUGUCUAUUGCAUACUCGCUUGUACUAUCAUACCUACGCUUAGGAUGUUGACGCAUGAGAUAUACGC
rnacentral:rRNA from 1 species